ACCUUUGUGUCGACGACAUAUCUUUCAAGUGUCUGACUUAUCAACUUUAGACGGUACAUUAUAUGUCUACCGUGGUUGUAACGAGUACAGAGAAUCAGGGUUUGGUUCUGGAGAGGCCGCCUGAGAAACGGCGACCACUUCCAAGGAAGGCAGCAGGCGCGCAAAUUACCCACUCUCAAAAUGAGGAGGUAGUGAAGAGAAAUAACGAUGUUAGUCUAUUAUAGGCUGACAAUCGGAAUGGGAACACUGUAAACAGGUUAUCGAUUAACAAUUGGAGGGCAAGUCUGGUGCCAGCAGCCGCGGUAAUUCCAGCUCCAAUAAGGAAAACUAAAGUUGCUGUGUUUAAAAAGCUCGUAGUUGAAUUUCGGGUAUUUGUUGCUAGCUGGUCUAACUGGCCAUGUUGGUUAACAGAUCCUCAUUUGCUGGACGGCUGGCGAUGAUCUUUAUCGAUUGUCGUCAGUUGCCAGAACGUUUACUUUGAGAAAAUUAGAGUGCUAAAAGCAGGCUCACGCCUAUAUAUAUCGCAUGGAAUAAUGAAAUAAGAUCUCGAUUUUAUUUCGUUGGUUUUAGAAAUUGAGAUAAUGAUUAAUAGGAUCAGAGGGGGGCGUACGUACUGUGGUGUGAGAGGUGAAAUUCUUGGAUCGCCACAGGACGAACAGCAGCGAAGGCGUUCGCCAAGAAUGUUUUCAUUAAUCAAGAACGAAAGUUUGAGGUUCGAAGACGAUUAGAUACCGUCCUAGUUCAAACCAUAAACGUUGCCAACUGUCUUUUAGAUGCGGUUAUUUAUAUGACUCAUCUGGCGGAUCUCGAGAAAUCUAAGUUUUUAGGUUCCGGGGGAAGUAUGGUUGCAAAGCUGAAACUUAAAAGAAUUGACGGAAGGACACACAAGAAGUGGAGCCUGUGGCCUAAUCUGACCCAACACGGGAAACCUUACUCGGCCAGGACACUUUUAGGAUUGACAGAUUGAGAGCUCUUUCUUGAUUAGGUGGGUGGUGGUGCAUGGUCGUUCGUAGUUCGUGGAGCGAUUUGUCUGACUAAUUUCGAUAACGAACGAGACUCCGGCUUACUAAAUAGUCUAAAGUUCGCAGGGACUUUUCAAGACUUCUUAGCAGGAUAAGUGGCACUUUUUAAGCCACACGAAAUGGAGCAAUAACAGGUCUGUGAUGCCCUUAGAUGUCCGAGGCUGCACGCGCGCUACACUGGAGAGUUCAGAAUGUUUCUUCCUACUUCGACAGAAGUGGGUAACCAUGAAAUUCUCUUCGUGACUGGGAUCGGAGCUUGCAAUUAUUCUCCGUCAACGAGGAAUUCCUAGUAAGCACUAUUUCAUCAGAAUGUGCUGAUUAUGUCCCUGUCCUUUGUAUACACCGCCCGUCGCUACUACCGAUUGAAUGUUUUAGUGAGAUCUUCGGCUUGG
rnacentral:rRNA from 1 species